GGAUCAUUACAGGAUUGGCUAAACGCAUUGUCUUUGGGGUUAGAUCUAAGGUACCAAUUGACCUGGGGUAAGUGACUGGUCUCUUGGGACUGGAAGGAACCUGAAUGUGGUGGGAUUUUCUUGGUGUCAGUGACCAUUUAUCACUAAAUCCUGUUUGUCUGGGUGGCAAGAUAGACUGGAGAGUCAAAAAGGACUGUCUGUGACUUCAUGGUAAGAGUGUUAAAGUGAUCCAGGAGUUCAUGUUUGUUGCUGGCCUGGUGAAAUCUAAUUACAGGACACACAACCAGUUUGGGGUAACUGCCCUGUUUUUGAGUCUGUCCUGAGGUAGGCACUUAUAGUUGUGAGCCACUCCAGACAGCAAGAGGGGGUGUUCACCCCAUAUCAGCCUGGAAAGGGUUAAUGAGGUUGAGAAGUGGACCACUGAACUUGAUGGGACACAACUGAGGGGAAUUAGACUGGAUAAGCAACCCCUCGUUGGGAAUAGAGCCAAGCUGAGAAGGACAGGUGGGGCUAUAAUACAGGAAUAUACAGGAAGCAGGCAAUGGAAGAGGGUCUGAAGUGUGGAGGACUGUGGCCACUCUCCAGCUGUAGAGAGGGAAAGGAGGAAACCCAGGGGAAAAUGGAAGUUCUGGUGUUAUGAGAGACCUGGACUUGACAUGACCUGCAGCCAUGUUGUAUAUGGAUUGAGCAUAACCCGCAGCCAGUUUGUAUGCUCAGCCACCAUUACUUGGAAACGGAAACCAUAGUAAAUUUGGCCUUGGCUUAGAAUCCCAGCUGCAGCAUUGAUAACAGGGUAGAUAGAGGAAAAUCACAGUUUCAUGGGAAUAGAAGGGGUUAUGGAGAAGCUAACCUUUAGUUUCUGCAUGUUUCUUACUCGGUGCUUGUGUGAGUUUUUGUGAAAAGUUGCUUUUUCUGGUAAGUAGAAAUUGUGAGGUUUUGCUGUCACUAGAGAAAUUGUUUGAGCCCAUCAGGAGUUCUGAUUGGUUAAAUUUAUUGCAUAGUCAUACUUUAAGUAAACUAAUUGGUUUGGGUAUAGAUAAGAGACUCUCAUUUUACCUAUGUAAUGCGGGUUAGAAGAGAAGCCAGUUGGAACCUAACUCUGGGACACUCCUUAAGACCAAAGCUGCUGGAACUCUUACAACCUGCAUGACCAUACCAUAGAGCAGCAAGAGCCCCAGAUGAAAUCUGAUCCUGACUGGCCAUCAGGAAACAUCUGUCUGCAUUUUUAGGAGUGAUGCCAGUGCCUAGCUCCCCCAGGAAAGAAGAAGAACAUGUGGGCCAGGUAUAAAUCUCGAGACGGGCGGCCAUGACAGGUACCAACAAGGAAAUGUAACAGCACGCUAAACUCAGGACCGGACCGGAAGCAGUAGAGCCCUCCCGCGGAUCCGAAGGGACUUCAGGGACUCUCAUCACCUCGCAGCCAGUCUCUGGUCAGCUGUUGCCUGGCCAGCCUCAGCCACUUGCAAAAUCAAAACCAACAUCCAUGCCUGAAGCUUGCCAGCAUGAAAGAGUUGUGUGUGUGAAUCUUGAAGAAACACAAGAGAGCCAACAGUGUGUGCAGAGACUUAGAAAUAUUGUCAUCAUCAACAGCUGUUUUGUCCUGAAAAAAUGAAACAAGUGGUGGAGAGAUUGAGCUAUGUCCCUCUAAAACUUACUCUUUUCCACCCCAAGUUUUGAAAUGGUGAAGAAGAGGUAUAGGGAAAAACACCAUUGCUCAAAGAUCUCAGACAAUCAGAGAUGAUGUUCUGAGCCACAUUAAAGAGAGGAUUAAAGAUGUAAGUUUUAUCAUACUUAUGAUCAGGUUUAGUGGAAUUAGCUGGUCUUCCACUCAGGAAAGGCAACACAGUUCAGGGGCUAUUUGCUGGCAAUGCUGGAGUUCCUCAGAGAUGAGGAUGAGGCUAAGAGGAUGGCAGGGCAGACAGUGAAAGCUCUCCAGAAUACAGUUUGCCACUUGGAACAAGAAGAAGUGGUCACAGUUGUGCUUUUGCAAUGUCCCCAACUAGCUCUGCUACUCUUCAACGGUGAGAAAGAAAGGGCCCACUUUGCUGUUAUGGUUGCAUUUGGCAAAACGUGAAGGUGCCUGGAAAAACUUAAACUUGGUACCAUCAGCCUCCUGAGUGAAAUGUACUGCAUCCUGCUUCUCAUGCAGGUACAAGGGUCCUGACAUGUUCAAGGCAUGUGAAGACAUAGAGACUGGUUGGGGUGGAUAUGGUAUGUGCAAACGAUCAGUCACAAGUAGGUCUGGCCAAAGGAAGGGGAUGGUGGGGAUCAAUAUAACUCAGAAUCUGUGAAAAAAAUAUGCGUGGCAUAGAUCCUUUACAUCAGAUAUGUUCAGAGCCCCACUGCUUUCGAUGGAGCUUUAUGUGAGCUGAAAGAUUUGCCCUGGUGCAUCUGAUUGUAGGAUUGGGUCCUUUGUUUAUGUGGGCAGUGUAAGAUUUAAGAUUGCCAUAGCUAUUUGAAGUUUUUUUGUUUUCAGAAUGACCCAGGUUUUGUUUAUUUUUGACCUUUCAUUUUCUCUUGUGUGCAGGUAAAUGAAGAUAGUGUGUUAAAUCAGUGGGGUGAACGUGUCACCUGAUUAGUAAAAUAAAGGAGUGAGUGGUGCAGGACUAGCUAACAAUGAAUCCUGCAGAGACAGCCCUGCCUCAUUCCAUGUGGACCUCACAAUUUAGGUGCAUUCACUAGGUAGCUAUGUUAGUGAUACAUACCAGUACAGUGCACCUGACCUUCACUUCAAACACUGCUGAAGCGUCAUAGCACAUGACAUGUCUGAUCCAAGGCUAGAAAACCACGUCUCCUGAUUGCACAAGCAGCAGCUAAGCCAGUAGGAUGCAGUGCCUGCUAGACACCUCCCUGAACCUCUGUGUCCCACUUAGCCACCUUUUGUAAGGUGGGGUAACAAAGUUUUGCAUUUACAAAGCACUUUUUCAUCCUAAGACCUCAACACACCUUACAAAGGUGGUUAAGCAUUAGUAGCCCAUUUUACACUUGACUGAAGUACAGAGACUUGAAGCAAUCUGUAUGAGAGUACUGUGCUCUAGUGAGAAAAGAAAUGGCUUUACCAUUUCAGAGUGCUGGGGGAGGAGCAUCUAUAUUCCGGGAUCCACCAAAAGCCUCCUCUGGCAACUUGUUUAAACUCUGUUACUCUCAUUUGGAAAAUGGCCCUGUAGAGGAUGCGGAAGGAGGGGUAACUUUAUUAGUUCUUUUCACUUUUUAAAAGAAAAAUAUUGCUUGUGGCCAUGAUUUUUUCCUCUGUUGCCUUCACUGUCAGAAGCAGGUAUAAUUUUGAAAUAAUGGCCACUUCAUAGACGUUUGACUAUUUUUGGCCUUGAAAACUGCCUCUUGCAUCACAUUUUGUGAUGCAAUGUUACUUGCUUGGGCAGACAGAAUGGAAACGUGCAAACAUUUUAAAAAGGAGUCAUUUUAAAGUCUUUUAAUCUUAACAAAUGCUCACUAAAUUUAAAGAAAGUCAAUGAGACUUAAUCAUUAAAAAUUGAAAGCUUAAUAAUGUAUCUUUUUUUGGUACAAAAAUCAGCCUUUCAGUGGGACCCUAGUUGCAACUCCUUGUCUGCCUUCUAAGCUGCAACAAGCUGAUAUGCGCAAUCCCUCUACAACAGAUGUCAAGGAAAAAUGCCUAUUGUCAUCCAUGAAAACAGGACUGGGCCUAUUACUAAGACUGACAUCCAUGGGAGCAAGAUCGGGCUGCAUGAUCCACAUAAAACACUGUCACUAACUUUGCUUAAUUACACUUUCUUUAACAAAGUGGGUGCAUGAAUUUUCAGGGAAAUUUAACUACAUGGAAAGUUUGAAAGGAGAGUAACAAGCUGUUUUUCAGCUAGACAAAAGAAAUGUUCGCCAAAAAUCAGAAUUUUAAAGCAUGGUGAUUUUUUAAAAUGACUGAUUCAAAAACACCUUUAUUAAUUUUCUUCAAGGUUUGCACAAGCAUUCACCUUCAUGUUGAGCAUAAAUACAACAACUCUCAGGCCACAUAAACUUUCCAAGCAAGAGCUAUAGAAAUGAUAAGAGGGCUUUUUAAUGGAAGCCAAAUUAUAGAGAGACUAAUGCCUCUCCAUAGUAAAGUCACUUUGUGUGCGUGUGUGUUCAUGCUGAUAAAAAAUGUACACAGCUUCUGUAUGUCUCAUCAAUCAGGGCUUGAAAGCAUCAGUCCUUGGCAACCUGAGAUAGAGAUCUAAACCACAUUCAUCAGCCUUCCACAAUUUACUUCUCCUUACUUCCCUUAGCUUUGAGUGACAUGGAAAAUGUGUUUUCACAAUCUAAUACGGUAUUUGGCC